GACGAACCGUGCGAACGUUGUUCGGAAUCACUGGGCUUAAAGGGCGCGUAGGCGGUUCGGCAAGUCUCUAGUGAAAUCUCUGGGCUCAACUCAGAGUCUGCUGGGGAAACUGCCGGGCUUGAGUGUGGGAGAGGAGAGUGGAAUUCCCGGUGUAGCGGUGAAAUGCGUAGAUAUCGGGGAGGAACACCUGUGGCGAAAGCGGCUCUCUGGACCACAACUGACGCUGAGGCGCGAAAGCUAGGGGAGCAAACAGG
rnacentral:rRNA from 1 species